CCUACGGGGGGCAGCAGUGAGGAAUAUUGGUCAAUGGACGAGAGUCUGAACCAGCCAAGUAGCGUGAAGGAUGACUGCCCUAUGGGUUGUAAACUUCUUUUAUAUGGGAAUAAAAUGUUCCACGUGUGGGAUUUUGGAUGUACCAUAUGAAUAAGGAUCGGCUAACUCCGUGCCAGCAGCCGCGGUAAUACGGAGGAUCCGACAGUUAUCCUGAUUUAUUGGGUGUAAAGGGCGCGUAGGUGGAGUGUUAAGUCAGUUGUGAAAGUUUGCGGCGCAACCGUAAAAUUGCAGUUGAAACUGGCAGUCGUGAGUACAGUAGAGGUGUGCGGAAUUCGUGGUGUAGCAGUGAAAUGCUUAGAUAUCACGAAGAACUCCGAUUGCGAAGGCAGUUCACUGGACUGCAACUGACACUGAGGCUCGAAAGUGUGGGUAUCAAACAGGAGUAGAUACCCCGGUAGUC
rnacentral:rRNA from 1 species